UUGGCUUCCUCACAGCCAAUAGAAGGACACUGUGGUCUCCGAAUUUUGAUUGACAGCUUUGUUAGCCAAUGAGAAGCAACAGAGCGCGCGGAUGUGAGCAGCCAGGCGCGUCACACAAUGGAACCAUCUGGGUAAUGCUUCUCAAAACGUGAGACGCCCGGAAGCUUUUGAGUGUAACCCAGGAAGUCAGUCUAACCGGAGAGAGUUCGUUUGCGGUGAAAGAUGAAGUUUUCACGGAGAAACAUCAAAGUGACAGUGUUUUCAUCCAGAGGCUGCUGGACUGUCCUGGAAGUUGACUGGUGACCUCAGGUGUCGCGCCAUAUUUGGGAAACCACUGGUAUGUUGUCACCCAAACUCAGACGCCGACUCCAACUCCAGGUUCUUCAGUUCAAGGGGUUUCAUCCAGCCCCAUGGUUCUCAAACUGUGGAGGCGGAGCUGGAGUGUGAUGGGAGGGGUCACACUCAGCACAGCUGUUCACGUGUAUAAAUGACAGCUGCAUGUUUGUGGACUGUUGAAGAACCUGGAGACACCCACACACACCCACAGGGAGACUCCACACAGAAAAGCCCUCGGGUCAGAAUGGGAUGUGCACUGGCGACCUUCUUGCUGUGAGGCGACAAUGCUAGCCACUUGACCACCGUAUGUCCCUCUCCUCCCUGAAAUCCAGGAGCCACUGUUUGACAAGUUCCUUUUAAUAUGAGUCAUAAAUCUGCCAGCAUUAUAAAAGUGCUGCUCCACAGAGGAGAACUUGACGGGCGUAGCAACAGUAACUAACUUCCUCCCUGCGUCCUUCUGCCCAAGGCCCAGCUCACACUCCACCACUUCUCUGGCCGUCACCUUGGACUCAUUCAGAGGGAUGCAGCUACAUCCUGAGGGUCAAGGGAGUUCUUCUUCUUCUUCCUCCUCCUCCUCCUCCUCCUCCUCAUGCAGCUCCUUCCUGCCGUUAUCUCCUGCAGACGAGAGUCUCAUCAGUCUGCGCGGUCCUCGAGGUGUGUGUGUGUGUGUGUGUGUGUGUGUGUGUGUGUGUGUGUGUGUGUGUGUGUGUGUUAGUGUGUGUGUGUGUGUGUGUGUGUGUGUGUGUGUGUGUGUGUGUGUGUGUGUGUGUGUGUGUGUGUGUGUGUGUUAGUGUGUGUGUGUGUGCGUGUGUGUGUGUUUGUGUGUGUGUGUGUGUGUGUGUGUGUGUGUGUAAAUAUGUGACGUUACUUCACAGUUUGAGUCAACAGUGAAGACGCCCUGAGCACCUGAACGAUGUCACCUGCUGCUUCAUUCCCACCGCGUUACAACAUUACAGAGUUUCAUUCUAUAUGAAGGACGUCAGGGAUUAUAAUCUGUCCUCUCCUCUGCUGUCUGUGCUGAGCUUCCUUCACAUUUGAGGCACGGCAAGUUUUAUUUGGAAUCGUACAUUUCAACAACAAGGCAUUUCAAAGUGCUUUACGAUAAAAAAGAAAGAGAAAAGCAGCAGAAUAAAAGAGAUAAAACACAGUAAAAACAUUUCAAUAGAGAAGCAAAUGAAACAAAGAACAACAAAUGAAAAGUUGCAGUUACGUCAUUUUAUUUGUAUUUAAAAACAGCGGCAAACAGGUUUUCAGCUUGCAUUUAAAACUCUUCUGGGAGUUUGUUCCAGAUAUUUGGGACAUCAAAACUAAAGUCCAGGUUCUGGGGACACAAGCAGUAUUUUAAAAAGAAGUCUUUGGCAGACGGGAACUACUAUCUUACUAUCUUUGAAGGAGCCAGAGAUAGGGAGUGGAUAUGAAUGCAGAUGUUAGGAUAUAUCUUUGGCUUUGGCUGGGACGAGCAGCAGUUCAGGUUUGGAGAGGUUUAGCUGGAGGUGAUGGACUUUCAUCCAUGCAGAGAUGUCAGAGGAACCAUCUGAGACUCGUUUCCCAGUCCUGGUUCUCAGGGACUCUUGUCCUGCAUGUUUGAGAUGUUUUUCCUGCUCCAACAAACCGGAUUGAUUUCAUCAACUAACCAUCAUUAGUUAGUGAGAUGUUACCGUGGAUGCAGGAGAAAACCCUUCCUUUUUCUCUCCAGAGCUGCUCUGAAGUUUCACGAUGACCCGGUGAAAUCUGCAUGUUUCUAAGACUACGCAAGUAACGCAUGGUAACACGUGUUCACAUGUCGCUCAGAAAGGAUGUUCUGCCUUGUUAGGACCAGGUUUAGGUCUCUGUGAAGACUACAGGUCCUCACAAGGUCAGUGUUUAUGUCAGAAACACAGUAACGUCAGACUUGUUGAAAACAUAAUUGUGUUUUCUCAGUCAUGGCGUCAGCGUGUAUUUGAAUAAAGGGCAGGGGUUGCCAGAUCUGAUUUCACAGUGUCACUGUAUGAAAACAUCAGCAGGUGUAAACACUUUCCUUAACUCUGUCCAUGUGUUAUCAGAUCACUGAGGACGGAUGUUAGCAGACCGGGCUGGAAUGAGUGGAAACAUUCAUAAUCCAGUAAUCCAGAGCGUCACAAUCCACCGUCAAUGUCCCAGUGGUUAAUAGAGAUGCUGCGUUUGUCCGCACACAUCUUCAGAUCAUUAUCAGACACGUUUCCAGAC